UUUUAGAAACUUCAUAUUUAAAGUAUACUCUUGGAGAAGAAACUACUCAUACUUUAUAUUUGAAGUUUACAUACUCUAUAUAU
rnacentral:sRNA from 1 species